rnacentral:rRNA from 1 species
UACGUAGGGGGCAAGCGUUGUCCGGAUUUAUUGGGCGUAAAGAGCGUGUAGGCGGCCACACAGGUCUGCUGUGAAAACUCGAGGCUCAACCUCGAGCUGUCGGUGGAAACCGUGUGGCUAGAGUCCGGAAGAGGAGAGUGGAAUUCCCGGUGUAGCGGUGAAAUUCGUAGAUAUCGGGAGGAACACCAGUGGCGAAGGCGGAGACCUGGGGAGAUAUUGACGCUGAGGUGCGAAAGCGUGGGGAGCAAACAGG